rnacentral:lncRNA from 1 species
CUUUAUGAUGUAAGUAAUCGAAGGAGGAAGCACAACCCUUGCCUUACCCUUUUGUUUGAUCGUGAGCUUCCGUGAGUGCCAAGUACUUCGAUUAAUAGUUUGCUGGAUUGCAAAACUAGCGAUAAGCUUUUCUAUACUGUAAACACUCUUUUGCUUGCUUCUUUCGGUCAGCUGAUGAUCUUAAAUUUAGAUAUCAAUCUAUCCUGAAAGACCAUCGAUUUGCAGGGAAAAGGUAAUCUCUAGCCCUGUGAACGGGUCUCUAUCCCUAGUGAUAAGCUCUUCAGUAGCCCCGGGAGGGAUUCUGCUUUGCUCCUCCUCGCAAGUUCAAGUCCUACUAUACCCAAACCUGCCAUAGUAUAGUAGGUGAUGCGUAAUGCUGAAAGUCACUCUUUUGCCUUUCGACUCGCUAUGAUACUUGUUGGAGAUACCGUUGCCUCAAGAUUUGAUUGGGAGCUGAUUGAUAUCAUACAGUCAAU